CAAUAGCGUAUAUUAAAGUUGUUGCGGUUAAAAAGCUCGUAGUUGGAUUUCUGCUGAGAACGACCGGUCCGCCCUCUGGGUGUGUAUCUGGCUCUUUCUUGGCAUCUUCUUGGUGAACGUUGCUGCACUUGACUGUGUGGAGCGCUACCCAGGACUUUUACUUUGAGGAAAUUAGAGUGUUUCAAGCAGGCAUACGCCUUGAAUACAUUAGCAUGGAAUAAUAAGAUAGGACCUCGGUUCUAUUUUGUUGGUUUCUAGAGCUGAGGUAAUGAUUAAUAGGGAUAGUUGGGGGUAUUCGUAUUUAACUGUCAGAGGUGAAAUUCUUGGAUUUGCUAAAGACGGACUACUGCGAAAGCAUUUGCCAAGGAUGUUUUCAUUGA
rnacentral:rRNA from 1 species